rnacentral:rRNA from 1 species
GACGAACGCUGGCGGCGUGCUUAACACAUGCAAGUCGAACGCUGAAGCUCAGCUUUUGUUGGGUGGAUGAGUGGCGAACGGGUGAGUAACACGUGAGUAACCUGCCCCCUUCUUUGGGAUAACGCCCGGAAACGGGUGCUAAUACUGGAUAUUCACUGGUCUUCGCAUGGGGGUUGGUGGAAAGGGUUUUUCUGGUGGGGGAUGGGCUCGCGGCCUAUCAGCUUGUUGGUGGGGUGAUGGCCUACCAAGGCUUUGACGGGUAGCCGGCCUGAGAGGGUGACCGGUCACAUUGGGACUGAGAUACGGCCCAGACUCCUACGGGAGGCAGCAGUGGGGAAUAUUGCACAAUGGGCGCAAGCCUGAUGCAGCGACGCCGCGUGAGGGACGGAGGCCUUCGGGUUGUGAACCUCUUUCGCUCAUGGUCAAGCCGCAACAAUGGUUGUGGUGAGGGUAGUGGGUAAAGAAGCGCCGGCUAACUACGUG